UACGUAGGGUCCGAGCGUUGUCCGGAAUUAUUGGGCGUAAAGAGCUCGUAGGCGGUCUGUCGCGUCGGCUGUGAAAACACGGGGCUCAACUCCGUGCCUGCAGUCGAUACGGGCAGACUAGAGUUCGGUAGGGGAGACUGGAAUUCCUGGUGUAGCGGUGAAAUGCGCAGAUAUCAGGAGGAACACCGGUGGCGAAGGCGACUACCUGGCCUGUUCUUGACGCUGAGGCGCGAAAGCUAGGAGAGCAAACGGG
rnacentral:rRNA from 1 species